CUGGUAUAGGGGCAGUGAGGGCUGGAGUGUGGUGUACCAGGGAGGUCUGGUAUAAGGGCACUGAGGGUAGGAGUGUGGGGUGUCCGCGAGGUCUAGUAUAGGGGCAGUGAGGGCUGGAGUGUGGUGUACCAGGGAGGUCUGGUAUAGAGGCACUGAGGGCAGGAGUGUGGGGUGUCAGCGAGGUUUGGUAUAGAGGUACUGAGGGGUGGAGGGUGGUGUACCAGGGAGGUCUGGUAUAGGGGCAGUGAGGAUUUUGAAUAAAUUGGGUUAUAACUCCAUGCCAGGCAUUACAUGGACUAAUAUGGAGCUGGUCCCUCCCUGCACUUACACUACAGUAGCCUCGUUAAUGUAAUUAAUCUGGGCCUGGACUUGCAGGACUCCUUUUCCAGAGGAAGCAGACGUACUGUUACCCACGUCCAUCACACCUGCAGAGCUCAGGUUUCCCAUUUCUACUGCCAGACCUUUGGCCUCAUUUAAUGGCAGUCCCCAGGGUGUCGAAUGCCUAGCUAUGGGGGCCACGGGAUUUUAGGCUUCCCCGUUACUAUGUGUGGUGUGAUUAGGGACCCCGCUCUGGACCUCCGGUCUGCCCGCUGCUUUUCCAUUAUGUAUUCGUGGACAUCUGCCAUAAUCCUUUCCACGGUUUCUGUGGGAGGCGUACCUGGGAAAAAGGCCAGUCUGCUUUGGAGUUCUCUUCCAAACUCAUUCUGUGUGCUGUCCAUAAGAGGUGCUGCAGCAGCUGCCCGGUCUCCCUCCAUGAGUUCAGCAAUAAGGGUAGCUUUGGUUUUAUUGCUGGCAAUAAUUCCCCUUGCUUCCAAUAGUUCUUUUAGCGUGGCCCGUUUCAGGUUGGUAUAGUCUGUCCCCGUUCACUAUCCGUUCGGGUAUAUUCACAUACCCUUUCCUUUCGGUUCCAUACGAAAUAGCAAAUUUCCCAAAUGGCUGUAACUGCCGAACAAUGGUCUGCUGUGAGGUUUGAAUCCCGUCGCUGCCACCAAUUGUGACGGACCCGCUGGCACUCCGACCGAGUACCUCCGUCAAUCGAUGCUCCUAGUGCUUGCCGAGGACUUCAAGCACUCCAACCGACACCAUCAGCACUGCAGACUUAUCCCAUCCCCCAAGCAUGAGCCAAGGCUUCAAGAAAGGGUCAAGCAGGUCUGUUUAAUGAGCACACAAAGCAACAGCACUCACGCAGCAAAACAACCCCUCCACAGAGGAAAACAAACUGACAGUUAAAGACAGACAGCGUUUGGAAAUAUGACAGUUAUUAAGGGUUUUUAAGCUGGUGUUCUAGGAGGGAGGGGAAUAAAACAGUCAAACUAAGUCCAUAAAACAGGGUUUUUCUUCACACUCUGCAUCCGAAGUGCAUAGCAAAACUGCAGAUCCUUUGUCAGAGCAUUUAAAGGGCCAGAACCAGUCUAAUAAAAUCCACUAUGCUCAAAUAACAUACAGUUCAAAUACAGGCAAUAAUCAAUGCAAAAGUCUCUUGUGGCUGCUUCUGCCACAGUCUGGUAUAGAGGCACUGAGGGCUGGAGGGUGGUAUAACAGGGAGGUCUGGUAUAAGGGCACUAAGGUCAGGAGUGUGGGGUGUCCGCGAGGUCUGGUAUAGGGGCAGUGAGGGCUGGUGUGUGGUGUACCAGGGAGGUCUGGUAUAGAGGCACUGAGGGCAGGAGUGUGGGGUGUCAGCGAGGUCUGGUAUAGAGGCACUGAGGGCUGGAGGGUGGUGUACCAGGGAGGUCUGGUAUAAGGGCACUGAGGGAAGGAGUGUGGGGUGUCCGUGAGGUCUGGUAUAGGGGCAGUGAGGGCAGGAGUGUGGUGUACCAGGGAGGUCUGGUAUAGAGGCACCGAGGGCUGGAGGGUGGUGUACCAGGAAGGUCUGGUAUAAGGGCACUGAGGGCAGGAGUGUGGGGUGUCCGCGAGGUCUGGUAUAGGGGCAGUGAGGGCUGGAGUGUGGUGUAC
rnacentral:lncRNA from 1 species